AUUGAACGCUGGCGGCAUGCUUUACACAUGCAAGUCGAACGGUAACAGGCCGCAAGGUUCUGACACGUGGCGGACGGGUGAGUAAUGCAUCGGAAAGUGCCCAGUCGUGGGGGAUAACUACCCGAAAGAGUAGCUAAUACCGCAUACGAACUAUGGAUGAAAGCGGGGGACCGUAAAGCCUCGCGCGAUUGGAGCGGCCGCUGUCAGAUUAGGUAGUUGGUGGGGUAAAGGCUUACCAAGCCAACGAUCUGUAGCUGGUCUGAGAGGACGACCAGCCACACUGGGACUGAGACACGGCCCAGACUCCUACGGGAGGUAGCAGUGGGGAAUUUUGGACAAUGGGCGCAAGCCUGAUCCAGCAAUGCCACGUGCAGGAAGAAGGCCUUCGGGUUGUAAACUGCUUUUGUACGGAACGAAACGGCUCUGGUUAAUACCCGGGGCUAAUGACGGUACCGGAAGAAUAAGCACCGGCUAACUACGUG
rnacentral:rRNA from 1 species